GCAGUGGGUCGUGACAACCAAAAAGGCUCCAGGGAUUAGUGCGUCUGAAUUUAGGAGCCUACAGCUUUGGAAUCAGCACAGGUUCUUCAGCUCUCACGCAUGUUCACCGUCCAGUGCGGGGAUGCCUCUGUGUCACUUGUUUGCCUGACCUCCAUGGGAAUAUGGCUCUGUGCAGGCUAAAAGCAUCUAGCUGUGCUUUCUCAGUGAGCCAGACACCUAAAGGUAAUGUGUCUUGGGGAAGAAUGGAGUAGGACUCUGUAAAAAGCCUGGCUUUGCAGAGAACAGGGCUGAAAGGAGGUCUGCGGUCUGGGAGAUGAUAGUAUGACCUCAUGGGUCCACAUUCAUGGAGGAAGGUGGAAGUAUUUCCCUGAGAUCUUCC